AUUACCUUGCCAAUUGGAUACAGGCAUUGUUUAAUUCUUUGCCGUUAGAGGAUUAUAAGAAUGGACUCUUGGUCUUAGGAGGUGAUGGUCGAUAUUUCAAUCGAGAAGCUGCACAGAUAAUCAUUAAAAUUGCUGCUGGUAACGGUGUUGGUAAAAUAUUGGUUGGCAAGGAUGGUAUACUGUCCACUCCAGCUGUAUCUGCUGUGAUACGGAAAAGAGAGGCAAAUGGUGGCUUUAUAAUGAGUGCAAGCCAUAACCCUGGUGGUCCUGAGUAUGAUUGGGGUAUCAAGUUCAAUUAUAGCAGCGGCCAACCAGCUCCCGAGUCUAUCACAGACAAGAUCUAUGGGAACACCCUUUCUAUUUCUGAAAUAAAAAUUGCUGACGUUCCUGAUGUUGAUCUUUCUCAACUUGGAGUUACAAAAUAUGGAAAUUUUAGUGUGGAGGUGGUUGACCCUGUGGCUGAUUAUUUGGAACUAAUGGAAAAUGUAUUUGAUUUUUCACUCAUUAGAAGUCUUGUUUCACGACCAGAUUUCAGGUUUGUAUUUGAUGCCAUGCAUGCAGUUACAGGGGCUUAUGCAAAGCCCAUUUUUGUUGACAAACUAGGAGCUAGCCUGGAUUCUAUUGCAAACGGAGUGCCACUGGAAGAUUUCGG
rnacentral:misc_RNA from 1 species